ACAGAGUCCAUAACUGUGAAUACUGAUGUUCCAUGUGUGGUACUGUAUUGCAUAUGAGCAUAUUGUAGUAGGCAUUGAUGCAUUUGGAGUAAUUUGUGUAGCCAUUUCGGCCAAACCCUGUAUGAAGUGGAUCCGUGGUUGAUGAAAUUGUUUUUAGACUUGGGUGGUAUUUGGUUUUUUGAUGGAAUGGGAUGUACAUUUGGC
rnacentral:lncRNA from 1 species